rnacentral:rRNA from 1 species
CGUGUAGGCGGUCGGGUAAGUCAGAUGUGAAAGCCUUCCGCUCAACGGAAGAAGUGCAUUUGAAACUGCUCGGCUGGAGUACGGGAGAGGAGAGUGGAAUUCCCGGUGUAGAGGUGAAAUUCGUAGAUAUCGGGAGGAACACCAGUGGCGAAGGCGGCUCUCUGGUCCGAUACUGACGCUGAGACGCGAAAGCGUGGGGAGCAAACAGGAUUAGAUACCCUGGUAGUCCACGCCGUAAACGAUGGGCACUAUGUGUAGGAGGUAUUGACCCCUUCUGUGCCGAAGUUAACGCAUUAAGUGCCCCGCCUGGGGAGUACGGCCGCAAGGCUAAA